ensembl:misc_RNA Metazoa_SRP Metazoan signal recognition particle RNA
GCCAGGCAUGGUGGCGCAUGCCUGUGGUCCCAGCUACUUAGGAGGCUGAGGUAGGAGGAUCACUUGAGCCUGGGAAGUUGAGGCUGCAGUGAGCUAUGAUCAUGCCACUGCACUUCAGCCCAGGUGACAGAGAGAGACCCUGUCUCAA